AUUGAACGCUGGCGGCAUGCCUUACACAUGCAAGUCGAACGCGAAAGUGGGGGCAACCCUGCGAGUAGAGUGGCGAACGGGUGAGUAACACAUCGGAACGUACCCAGGAGUGGGGGACAACCUCGAGAAAUCGAGGCUAAUACCGCAUACGUCCUGAGGGAGAAAGCGGGGGAUCUGCAAGGACCUCGCGCUCAUGGAGCGGCCGAUGUCGGAUUAGCUAGUUGGCGGGGUAAAAGCCCACCAAGGCUACGAUCCGUAGCUGGUUUGAGAGAACGACCAGCCACACUGGGACUGAGACACGGCCCAGACUCCUACGGGUGGCAG
rnacentral:rRNA from 1 species